rnacentral:rRNA from 1 species
ACAGCAGUCGCCGCGGGAAUACGAAGGGUGCAAGCGUUAAUCGGAAUUACUGGGCGUAAAGCGUGCGCAGGCGGUGAGUUAAGUCUGCUGUGAAAUCCCCGGGCUCAACCUGGGAAUGGCAGUGGAUACUGGCUCGCUAGAGUGUGUCAGAGGAUGGUGGAAUUCCCGGUGUAGCGGUGAAAUGCGUAGAGAUCGGGAGGAACAUCAGUGGCGAAGGCGGCCAUCUGGGACAACACUGACGCUGAGGCACGAAAGCGUGGGGAGCAAACAGGAUUAGAUACCCCAGUAGUCCCUGUCUCUUAUAA